rnacentral:rRNA from 1 species
CAGCCGCCGCGGUAAUACGGAGGGUGCAAGCGUUAAUCGGAAUUACUGGGCGUAAAGCGUGCGUAGGCGGCUUUUUAAGUCGGAUGUGAAAUCCCUGAGCUUAACUUAGGAAUUGCAUUCGAUACUGGGAAGCUAGAGUAUGGGAGAGGAUGGUAGAAUUCCAGGUGUAGCGGUGAAAUGCGUAGAGAUCUGGAGGAAUACCGAUGGCGAAGGCAGCCAUCUGGCCUAAUACUGACGCUGAGGUACGAAAGCAUGGGGAGCAAACAGGAUUAGAUACCCGCGUAGUCCCUGUCUCUUAUAC